UAAGUAACUCCGCCUGAGGCCCCUCUGGGGUUAAUGCCGGUUCCAAGCCCGGAUAAAGGAGGAGGGUUGG
rnacentral:ribozyme from 2 species